rnacentral:rRNA from 1 species
ACGAAGGGGGCUAGCGUUGUUCGGAUUUACUGGGCGUAAAGCGCGUGUAGGCGGGUCGUUAAGUUGGGGGUGAAAUCCCGAGGCUCAACCUCGGAACUGCCUUCAAAACUGGCGACCUGGACUCAAGCAGAGGCAAGUGGAAUUGCGAGUGUAGAGGUGAAAUUCGUAGAUAUUCGCAGGAACACCAGUGGCGAAGGCGACUUGCUGGGCUUGUGGUGACGCUGAGACGCGAAAGCGUGGGGAGCAAACAGGA